rnacentral:tRNA from 1 species
GCCUGCGAAGAACGCCGGAAACACCGACGGCCUCCGGAGCCGGGUGCGCAGGUUCGAAUCCUGCCGGGGGCA